rfam:Citrobacter sp. 30_2 cont1.44, whole genome shotgun sequence.
AUUAAAAUGCAAUAUCCGGUAAAUCCGAAAACAUCAGAAAUUGAAUAACAUUAAUAAAAUUAUUUUAGGAUUAAGCUCAAUUAAGGUAUGAAGUUAAAACGUAGAUAUCCUGGAGCAUUCUUAUAAAAAAGCCGAUAUUAAUAUCGGCUUUUUAUUUCAUU